rnacentral:tRNA from 1 species
UAAAGAAAUAAUUAAAUAUUGAAUUUCUAAUUCAAAUAUUAAUAUAAAUUUAUAUUUUAUUUCUUUAG